rnacentral:misc_RNA from 1 species
UACAGAGCCCUCAAACGUUGUCCGGAUUCAUUGGGCGUAAAGCGUCCGCAGGUGGCCUGGCAAGUCGAUGGUCAAAUCCCGGUGCUUAACAUCAGGACUGCUGUCGAUACUGCACGGCUUGAGGUUGGGAGAGGCGAGCGGAACGAACGGUGUAGUCGUAAUAAGCGCUGAUAUCGUUCGGAACACCAGAGGCGAAGGCGGCUCGCUGGAACAAACCUGACACUCAUGGACGAAAGCGUGGGGAGCGAAAGGG